UGAAACUUUGUAAACAACUCUUACACGUUGUAUUAAAGCUCAUCUGCCGUAUUUAGUAUGAAAAGACGCGUCGGUGCUGCAGCCAAGUGAGCCAAAAGUGCCAAAACAGACAGUCAUCCAGAUGUUAAAGUCAAACCCCACUCAGAAGGUAUUUAUGAAGACAAGAGGAAUGAUACAAUUCAAAGCAGAAAGAAACAGCAUCAGAAGGCCUGCAGCACACACACAGUAAUGGGCUUACAAGACCUCAAGCUUGGGUCAAGCUCUCCCGUGGCACACCUGAGUGACAUCAUAAACAUGGCUUAAAUGACCAGCGAACCUCUGAGCCCACAUGAGAGCUGUCCACGCUUUUAAUGUAUGGGAUCUUAUCAGUGGGAAAUGCUCAAGAGUAGCCUCAGGUGAUCUCAGGUGUCUGUAAGGCGGGGAUUUACAUUUUCUCAGGACAGGCAGCCCGUGGAGAGAGGCCUGCUGGCAGAUCAAAGGCUCCGGCUGUAAAACGAUCUGAAAGAGUCCGGCAUUAGCAUCCAUCAGGGUACCUUGAAAGCUCCCUGGUCAGCCGAGAGGGAAGCUGAGGGCCCCCCAAAGUGAAAGCCCAGUCUGGAGAG